rfam:Triticum aestivum genome assembly, contig: Triticum_aestivum_CS42_TGACv1_scaffold_501363_6BL
GAGAGCCGGAUGAGGGGAGACCCUCACGUCCGAUUCGGAGGGCAGGGAUAUCCCGACCCUAC